AUAUUCAAUAUUUAUUUUAGGGUCUGACAAAAAAUCACACCUAAAAAACCUAAAAUAUUUCCCAUAUCCAAAGCUAUUCCAUAUUCGAGUCUCAAACUCAAAUGCGAAAUCUCUAAUUAUCAUUUCAUCACAACCUUUUACGAUGGAUAAGGUCUUCCUCCCCUUUUGUAGAUUCUUUUUUUCCAAACUUUUUUCUUAAAACAUUUGUGCUCUCUUUUAAAGCCCUAUAUGUCAUUUCCAUCUAUAAAUAGCAACUCAAAUUCAUAGUUAUAAUUCAAGGUAUAGCAAAUUCAUAAUACACACUUGCUCUCCUACAUAACCAAAAACUCUAUUUCAUCCCCCUUCACUUCAAUCUCCUAAAAAAUGUCGGACAAGCGUGGUAGUUACAAUUAUGCUGACAUUAACAAAUGAAGAAGGAAAACCAAUAUGAUAUGGCCUUCAUCGACAAGAGCGAGAUGAUGGCGAUGAUGACAUUGGAGUUGAAGAAAAUGAUGGAAACUGCAAAUGAAAAUUGCAAAUGUGGCAGCACUUGCGCCUGUGUGAACUGUACUUGUGCUCAUUAAAAAAUGUCAUAAACAAAUAUUUAUCUAAAAUUAUAUGAGUAAUAUGUGUUUAAAUGAAAUAAUGGUACUUUGAUAUUUGUGGUGUAAUAAGAGUUCCUUAAACACAAAAUGUAAAGGGGUCAAGUACUCUAGUUAGUGUCUUUGUCUCUUUUGGUCAAGUUUGUAGCAUAAGUUUUGAUUGUUAAAUAGACUAUUACUACUUAUUUCGUUUGUCUCAA